GGAGUGCCUCUCCUUAUGGCAAUAGCCACUCCACCGCAGGCCCUUCCUGGUGAUCGAAAGUCUUUCCGUAUGAUCUCAAAACCGUUCAUGGAAAAUUUGCUUCUAGGUUUUAGGUGAGUCUCUUGGAGAGCGAUGCACAGCGGUAUAAAAUAAAUAACAUUUAGUGUAUAUGGGGACAAAUACAAAUACACGACAUUGAGCAACGAUACUAAACAAUUAAGUAAAUAAAUAAAUACAGACAUCGAUCAAAAAAUAUCAUAGGUUUUAUCACAGAUUCUAUCACUUACUAGAUGGUAACCCAGGCCCUCGGGGUUUACCCUUGGGCCACCCCUUUUUCUUUUUACCGCUUUUUGCCUCUUCUAGGCCCUUCAUCUACGGACUCAAUGCUUGAGGUCGCGGAUGACGUCAGAGAGGGUUUGCGUUUUGCACCCCUGGAUUCGGCAUCCAUGGGUAUCGGAAGACGAAAUUCUACUCCCUCGCGACAGAGAUUCGUCAUCUAUGGGUACCGGAAGACAAAAUUCUACUCUAUCGUCAGCAGGCCGCGAUAGAGACUGUUUCACGUGUGCGAUCAUCUCUGAGCCACCAACUGUACCUGAGACGGGAUAAUGUUUUGUUGUGUCGAGCCACCAUUGUGCAUAGCAACAUUAGCAUACAAAUUAUUGGUCGUUACGGUACUACCAAUCGUCUUGCUUCCGGGUACAUUUCACAUGACCUGGAGUUUGCAGGGUGAUUUCCUUUACAGUUUAUACA